rnacentral:lncRNA from 1 species
UCCGUCCUUUGAAUGAUUCUUGGUGUCAAUUAUGUUAUGUCCAUCCAUCAUCAAGGCAACCCUUUUGGCACAUCACAGAAGAAGUUGUCUCUGAAAUUCUAAUUUCUAUGACCAAUUUGACCCUUUUCUGAUUCAUAUACCUUCAUUAGUCGUGAGUGAAUAGAAAACAAUCAGUCAGGGUAAUAUGUCACUGUCUACUGUUUUUCUUUGAAUAUAAAUUAUUUAUACUUUAUAUAUAAUAUCACAUCUGGAUAGCUACAGCAGGUAAACACUUAACAGUAUUUCAACUCUAUAACGGGAGAUGGAUCUGUAAAAAUUUAAAUUUACAGGGUGGUAUAUAUUUUUCACACCCCCUGGUAAGAGGUGAAAUAGAUGAAAUAUAGAAAAUGAAAAAGCAGAAUUAUAUUUUAGUAGUCAUAUUCAAAUUUUUUUAUAAUUAUUGAUAAUUUAAAGCUUAAAUUUUUAUACAGACGUAGAGUAUUUUAAAAUUAAAUUCAUCUUUAUUUUAAUUAGAAAUUUUGGAAAAAUAUAUAACAAACUCCAUCUGGUUACAAAAUCAUUGAUUAAAAAAUUAUUUGAAAUAAUCAAUAUAUAAACAUAACUAUAUCUUGUAAUGUAUAACAAAUAAACUCAUAUCUAAAUUUUAAUAAUUAUUUUAAUUUCAUUUUUAAUUGUUUCUUCUCAUAUUAUUUUGUGUUUUUUAUUUUAUAUAUAUAUAUAUAUAUAUAUAUAUAUAUAUAUAUAAUUAUUCUAAAAGUAACUCUUCAUGUUCAUUAUUUAUUUUUUUGAAAUCUAAUAAUUAUAAUAAAUAAUUAUUUUUAUUCACUAGAUUUCAAGAAAAUGAAUAAUAAAGAUAAUUUUUUUUUAAGAAAGAUGAGUUUUGUAUUACCACCAACAAAUACUGUACAUGAAAAAUUAUGAGGGCAUACCUUCUACCUACAAUUCAAAAAUAAUCUAAAAAGUUAUCCUAUAUACUUGCGACUUGCAAGUCAUAUAGAAGUGUUUGAAUAAUUUUAUAACUACAUGACUAAAGUGAAUAUGUCUUACUGCAACACAAUUGUAUAUAGAAAAUUGUGUAUAUUGUCUUUUGACAUUAAGACCAGCUUUCAGUGUUUGAAUAAUUUUAAAACUACACAAGCCAGGUGAUGAUAUUCUUCUUUUCUUAAUACAACACAAUUUCUAACAUGCCAAUAAAAUAUAUAGAAGUGCAAAAAGCAACAACUCUUAUAUACAAAACAGUGGAAUUUUCUUCCUUCAACCAAUUAUAUACAAACUGUUGCGCCAUGCAAUGAAAUCCAAGAAAUGAAAUAUCAUACCUAUUCGCUGCAUUACUGUGCUAUCCAAGAAAUCCAAGAACAUAACUAAACUUUUGGUUCUCCU